rnacentral:rRNA from 1 species
GAAGAUAAUUAAUUUUAAUAAAAAUAAUUUUUUAUGUUUUAGUAAGAAAUAAAAAAAAAUAUUUUAAAUUUUAUAGUAAAAAGUAAUGAAAAUGAAUAAAUUAAAAGUGAAAUUUAAAUUUUAAAAAAGAAAAAUUAAGUUUUUGUUCCUUGUGUAUCAGGAUUGAUUAAAUAAAAAAAAAAUAAUUAAUUUUUAUUUAUAAUUUUAAAAAUUUAAAAAUUUUUUAAUUUUUAAUGUGAAAAAAUUAUUAAUAAAAAAUUUUUGAAAAUUAAAAGUUAGAUUGAUUUAAAAGUUAUAUAAUUUUAAAAGAAAUAAAUUUAAUUUAAUUAUAAUAAAUUAUAAAAAAUUAUUUAUUUUUAAAAUAAAAAUUUUAUUUUUUUUUAUAAAAAUAAUUUUAGGGAUGAGCUUAAAAUUAAAAUUUUAAAAAAUAAAAAUAUUUGUAAAAAAAUUUAUACAAAAAAAUAAAAAAUAUUUUUAAAAAUUAAAAUUUUAAAUUAAAAUAUUUUAAUUAAUUUGAUUUUUUUUUAUAUUUUUUUAAUUUAAAUUUAAAUUUUUAAUUUAAAAAUAAUUUUAAUUUUAAAAAUUAUUUUAUAAUUAUUAAAUUAGUAAAUAAAAUAAUGAAUUAUUAUAUAAUUAAAUUUUAAAUGAUAAGAAAUUUAAUAUUUUGAUUUAAAAAAAAAAAAUAAUAGAAUUUAAAUUUUAUAAAUUAGGCAAAAUUUUGUUUUUAAUUGUUUAUCAAAAACAUUGUUUUUAAAAAUUUUUAUAAAAUAAGAUCUGCUCACUGAAGUUAAAAUUUUAAAGAGCUGCAGUAUAUUGACUGUACAAAGGUAGCAUAAUCAUUUGUUUUUUAAUUGAAAACUUGUAUGAAAGAUUAAAUAAAAAAUAAUCUUUAUUAAAUUUAAAUUAAUUGAAUUUGUUUUUUUAAUAAAAAAAUUAAAAUAAAAAAAAAAGACGAUAAGACCCUAUAAAGCUUUAUAUUAAAUUUUUAUUUUAUUUUUAUAAAAAUUUAAUAAAUAAAUAUUAAUUAAAUAUUAGAUUGGGGUGAUAUAAAGAUUUAUAAAAUUCUUUAAAGAAUUAAAUCAAAAUUAAUUGUUUAUAAAAAUUUUAUAAAAUUUUUUGAUCUUAGUUAAAAAUUAAUAAAAUAAGUUACUUUAGGGAUAACAGCGUAAUUUUUUUUGAGAGUUCUUAUUGAUAGAAAAGUUUGCGACCUCGAUGUUGGAUUAAGAAAUAAUUUUUAAUGAAGAUGUUAAAGUUUUAAGUCUGUUCGACUUAUAAAAUCUUACAUGAUCUGAGUUCAAAUCGGUUUAAGCCAGGUUGGUUUUUAUCUUUUUUAUUUUUAUUUUAUAUUUUAGUACGAAAGGAAUAAAUAUAAUAAAUUUUUUUAUUUUGAAUUAUAAAAGAAUAUUAUUAAAUGUAAUAGAAAAUUAAAA